rnacentral:rRNA from 1 species
AAAUUGAAGAGUUUGAUCAUGGCUCAGAUUGAACGCUGGCGGCAGGCCUAACACAUGCAAGUCGAGCGGAAACGAGUUAUCUGAACCUUCGGGGGGCGAUAACGGCGUCGAGCGGCGGACGGGUGAGUAAUGCCUAGGAAAUUGCCCUGAUGUGGGGGAUAACCAUUGGAAACGAUGGCUAAUACCGCAUGAUGCCUACGGGCCAAAGAGGGGGACCUUCGGGCCUCUCGCGUCAGGAUAUGCCUAGGUGGGAUUAGCUAGUUGGUGAGGUAAGGGCUCACCAAGGCGACGAUCCCUAGCUGGUCUGAGAGGAUGAUCAGCCACACUGGAACUGAGACACGGUCCAGACUCCUACGGGAGGCAGCAGUGGGGAAUAUUGCACAAUGGGCGCAAGCCUGAUGCAGCCAUGCCGCGUGUGUGAAGAAGGCCUUCGGGUUGUAAAGCACUUUCAGUCGUGAGGAAGGCGGUGUAGUUAAUAGCUGCAUCGUUUGACGUUAGCGACAGAAGAAGCACCGGCUAACUCCGUGCCAGCAGCCGCGGUAAUACGGAGGGUGCGAGCGUUAAUCGGAAUUACUGGGCGUAAAGCGCAUGCAGGUGGUUUGUUAAGUCAGAUGUGAAAGCCCGGGGCUCAACCUCGGAAU